rnacentral:rRNA from 1 species
UACGAAGGGGCUAGCGUUGUUCGGAAUUACUAGGGCGUAAAGCGCAGCGUAGGCGGAUUGUUAAAGUUAGGGGUGAAAUCCCAGGGCUCAACCCUGGAACUGCCUUUAAUACUGGCAAUCUCGAGUCCGAAGAGAGGUGAGUGGAAUUCCGAGUGUAGAGGUGAAAUUCGUAGAUAUUCGGAGGAACACCAGUGGCGAAGGCGGACUCACUGGCUCGGUA